AUGAACUCCUCUUCCUCUUUUUGGGUGGAACUGCUAAGCCUCUCCAGUUUUCAACAGCUUCUUCAUCUGUUGGAUGGAUGUUUGUGACAGUGUCAGACUUCCCAGAGCAGGAAGCAUCCAUCUCUGGCCUUCCAUCAAUCCUGCAGGUUGUGAAAAAACACGCAUGUUGCCUUCAAUGAAGGACAGAUGUCGAGCAAUGAAUCGAUCCACUCGAUUAGGCAAGUGUUCAUGCUUGAAAAGGCCGUGUUUGAUGUUUUUAAACUCGGCUUCGACAUUGGCUGAACUUGCAGUGAUUUUGGAGCUCCGGAAGUGAGGGAUCAUUACCCCUGUCCAGAGAGGUCUGUCUGUGUUUGGUCACAUGGAUCCACUUCUUCCAGGUCCGCACCCUCUACAUCUGGAAUGAUGACACACUCUUCUGCAAUUCUGGCUUUUAGUCCCACCGGCUGAUCAUCUUGAUGCAGUGAGCAACAUCAACCCGCACGAAACAAGGUGAACAGGAGGAUUGCGAGAAAGGACAUGAAGGGGGCACGGCAGUGCAGUGGUCAUGCUUUCAGGACCAACGUAGCUGCUUUGCUGUUGACAGUCUGUGGAUUGGUCUUGUUCGUGGUCUUUAUCCUAAAACACUCCUAAAAAACAGUGUAACGCAAGGUCCUCUCCGUUACCUAGAAUCCCUGGCUAAUUUUGCAUAUUGUUAUGUUACAUGCAUGAAGUUAUAUCAUUCACAAUAUUUAUAGCAUAUAGUGAUAACUACUAAUGAUAAAUAAUGUUCAGACUAAGAACACAAUAUGGAUUUAGAUUCUUUACUGUAUUUCCAAUCUGUAAUGUUUUGGUGUUGCAAUGUGUCCACAUUGGUUGGUGGAUCAGCCUGCAAGGAGUGUGUUGUUAUGCCAUAUUGUAAUGUAUAGCAUUCCCAUUGUGCCGAUGUGUCAUAUGCAUGGCGUAUGGAUAUUUAGAAGAGUCGUUGGACUAAAUGUUAAAUGCAUGUACAGUUAUGCUCAAAAGUUUGCAUACCCUUGGAGAAUUGAUAAUAUAUGUACCAUUUAUAAAGUAACAUGAGUGAGCAGUCUUUUAUUUCUUAUGGG
ensembl:lncRNA